CCACUGGAGUUUCCUGCAGGAUGGACAAGGAGCCCUUGUGCCAAAUUUCUUCGGGCUGAGAUGAGUCAGACCCAUCCUUACCCUGCUAAGCUCCUCCCAUGCCACAGGGGUUGAAAGCCUGGAAACUACAUUUCCCAGAUUCCCUUGCCAGUAGGGUUCUAGCUAUCAUCUGCCUUCAAGAGGCGCUCUUGGAAUCACCGGAAGAUGGAAGAGAAAAAUAACGUUUUCCUCUGUCAAUAUCUACAGGUAGGGGUGUGUUCUCUGCAGAUGGCAAGCACAGAGCGUAUAUCACCUGUGAGCAUUGUUCUGAAAAUCACCCUCUUCGGUGCUACAGCAGAGAUAACGGAUGAUGCAGGAACAAAUAUCAAAGUCUCCUUGAAGCUGGUGUGUGGCCCUCAUCAAAACAGGCCUGAACUUGGGGUUCACCAGACCUCAAUUAAUAUCCCAGGUCUGUCACUUAUGAGCCUCACCUAUAUAGGGCAAGAUGCUAGGGAGAGCGG
rnacentral:lncRNA from 1 species